UACGGGGGGGGCAAGCGUUGUUCGGAAUUACUGGGCGUAAAGGGCUUGUAGGUGGCCAACUAAGUCAGACGUGAAAUCCCUCGGCUUAACCGGGGAACUGCGUCUGAUACUGGAUGGCUCGAGUGUGGGAGAGGGAUGCGGAAUUCCAGGUGUAGCGGUGAAAUGCGUAGAUAUCUGGAGGAACACCGGUGGCGAAGGCGACGUCCUGGACCGGUAUUGACGCUGAGGCACGAAAGCCAGGGGAGCAAACGGG
rnacentral:rRNA from 1 species